GACGAACGCUGGCGGCGUGCUUAACACAUGCAAGUCGAACGGUGAUGCUCCAGCUUGCUGGAGUGGAUCAGUGGCGAACGGGUGAGUAACACGUGAGCAACCUGCCCCAGACUCUGGAAUAAGCGCUGGAAACGGCGUCUAAUACUGGAUACGAAACUGGCCCGCAUGGGCAUGGUUUGGAAAGUUUUUCGGUUUGGGAUGGGCUCGCGGCCUAUCAGCUUGUUGGUGAGGUAAUGGCUGACCAAGGCGACGACGGGUAGCCGGCCUGAGAGGGCGACCGGCCACACUGCGACUGCGGCACGGCCCAGACUCCUACGGGAGGCAGCAGUGGGGAAUAUUGCACAAUGGGCGAAAGCCUGAUGCAGCGACGCCGCGUGAGGGAUGACGGCCUUCGGGUUGUAAACCUCUUUCAGCUGGGAAGAAGCGAAAGUGACGGUACCUGCAGAAGAAGCACCGGCUAACUACGUG
rnacentral:rRNA from 1 species